rnacentral:rRNA from 1 species
UACAGAGGUCCCAAGCGUUGUUCGGAUUCAUUGGGCGUAAAGGGUGCGUAGGCGGCGCGGUAAGUCGGGUGUGAAAUCUCGGAGCUUAACUCCGAAACUGCAUUCGAUACUGCCGUGCUUGAGGACUGGAGAGGAGACUGGAAUUUACGGUGUAGCGGUGAAAUGCGUAGAUAUCAGGAGGAACACCAAUGGCGAAGGCAGCACUCUGGGACGGUACUGACGCUGAGACGCGAAAGCGUGGGGAGCAAACAGG